rnacentral:tRNA from 1 species
GAGAUUGUAGCUCAGAGGUAGAACGCACACCUAGCAUGAGUGAGGCACUGGGUUCAAUCCCCAGCACCACA